rnacentral:rRNA from 1 species
CUUAACCAUAAGCUUGCCAUCAAUACUGUUAUCCUUGAGUAUUGAAGAGGGAAAUAGAAUUCCUGGUGUAGCGGUGAAAUGCGUAGAUAUCAGGAAGAAUACCGGUAGCGAAGGCUAUUUCCUGGUCAAUUACUGACGCUGAGGCGCGAAAGCGUGGGGAGCAAACAGGAUUAGAGACCCUGGUAGUCCACGCUGUAAACGAUGAGCACUAGGUGUUGGAAAGCAAUUUUCAGUGCCGUAGCUAACGCAUUAAGUGCUCCACCUGGGGACUACAGUCGCAAGAUGGAGACUCAAAGGAAUUGACGGGGGCCCGCACAAGCGGUGGAGCAUGUGGUUUAAUUCGAUGCAACGCGAAGAACCUUACCUGGGCUUGAAUUGUAGCGGACAGUCUGAGAAACCAGAUCUUCCUUCGGGACUG